rnacentral:miRNA from 1 species
AUUGGGCUGGCCAAAAAGUUCGUUUGGGUUUUUCCAUACAAUGUUACAAAAAACCCGAACAAACUUUUUGGCCAAUCCAAU